rnacentral:lncRNA from 7 species
GGGGACUUGCAAGAGAAGUUGUGUGAUUUUUGGGAUAAAGGGGGAUUUUUGAAGAGAAAAUGUGUGUUUUUUGGAUGAAUCAGGGGGAUUUUCCACAAGAAAAUGUGUGAAUUUGGGGGAUAAUGGGGGAUUUUUGAAGAGCAGAAGUGUGAUUUUCACGUUAAAUGGGG